GUUCAUUAAGUCAGAUGUGAAAGCCCGGGGCUCAACCUCGGAACUGCAUUUGAAACUGGUGAACUAGAGUGCUGUAGAGGGGGGUAGAAUUUCAGGUGUAGCGGUGAAAUGCGUAGAGAUCUGAAGGAAUACCAGUGGCGAAGGCGGCCCCCUGGACAGACACUGACACUCAGAUGCGAAAGCGUGGGGAGCAAACAGGAUUAGAUACCCUGGUAGUCCACGCCGUAAACGAUGUCUACUUGGAGGUUGUGGCCUUGAGCCGUGGCUUUCGGAGCUAACGCGUUAAGUAGACCGCCUGGGGAGUACGGUCGCAAGAUUAAAACUCAAAUGAAUUGACGGGGGCCCGCACAAGCGGUGGAGCAUGUGGUUUAAUUCGAGCAACGCGAAGAACCUUACCUACUCUUGACAUCCAGAGAAGCCAGCGGAGACGCAGGUGUGCCUUCGGGA
rnacentral:rRNA from 1 species